UACGUAGGGGCCGAGCGUUGUCCGGAGUUACUGGGCGUAAAGCGCGCGCAGGCGGCCAUGCGCGCCCGGCGUGAAAGCCCCCGGCUCAACCGGGGAGGGUCGUCGGGGACGGCAUGGCUUGAGGGCGGUAGGGGCCGGUGGAAUCCCUGGUGUAGUGGUGAAAUGCGUAGAGAUCAGGGGGAACACCCGUGGCGAAGGCGGCCGGCUGGGCCGACCCUGACGCUGAGGCGCGAAGGCGUGGGGAGCGAACAGG
rnacentral:rRNA from 1 species